CAUAUUUUCACACAGUGACAAUGUUCCUAUUGCCCGAUCCCCUUUCUGUUUUCCUUAUUCUCUCUGCUCACUCAAAAAUUUCUGCUCUCCCAUCAGCUUGCUCUCUUGUUCGCUGCCUUGAGGUUCCUCGUCCUCACCUCAAGCCACUCCGCAGCUGGUGCUGCCACAGGGACGACAGCUAGUUUGGCUCCUCUUGAUUUCGUCGUGGAUUUCAUCUCCCCCAGGCCGCAUCCCUCUUAGAUCCAGCUUGGGUGUGAGGAUGGCGGCGAGGUUCUCUUCCCCAAGCGCAUAAGCUAGAGCGUUGUCGCUCUUUUCACUCGAGGCAGCUCGGGACACGGUCCUCAUCCUCCACAGCGACAACAUUCUUCGAAGUUCGACCUGCAGACAGUGGUGGAGCUAGAGAUCAUGCUUUGCUGUGGCGAUGGACGACGAUAAAUAUCAUGGCGGUGCUCCCGCUGGUCAUUGGACAUGGGAGUACCCUUCUCGGCCGCUUGACACCUUGACCAACCGCCCCGCUUGGUGGUGAUCUAGUUGCUCAACGGAGCCGGCUGGUGCCCAAUGCCGAAGUGCCACUGGUUGGAGGAAGUUGACCUCAAAGUGUUGUUCACUGGAGGAAGAUGAUGUACAAGGUUGUUCGGAUGCCGAGAGAUUUUAUAUAUGCAUGCGACCAUGAGAUUUUGGUCCUAUCUAGAGAUAUUCUGUUAGGAGAGAUCCAAUAUCUGCAAAUUUCUGAGAGUUUGGAUUUGUUUGGAGAGAUGUCAUCUUUGUACAGUUUUUUUGUGGGAAGGAUCUUCAGAGUUUGGUCAUGUUUCUUACCCUGUACGCCCCAUUUUUUAUUAUAUGGGAUGGUCUGGCCGCUCGUGGGAUGGUGCUGGCCUGUUUUUUUUAGUUAAUGGUCCAGCCUAUCAUGAGUUUGUGUACAGGUCCAACCUGUUAUAGU